GCUUCGGGCCUGGAGAGUGGGAUGACCGGAAAGUGCGACACACUUUUAUCCGAAAGGUUUACUCCAUCAUCUCCGUGCAGCUGCUCAUCACUGUGGCCAUCAUUGCUAUCUUCACCUUUGUGGAACCUGUCAGCGCCUUUGUGAGGAGAAAUGUGGCUGUCUACUACGUGUCCUAUGCUGUCUUCGUUGUCACCUACCUGAUCCUUGCCUGCUGCCAGGGACCCAGACGCCGUUUCCCAUGGAACAUCAUUCUGCUGACCCUUUUUGUAAGUCUAGAAGGGUGGCAGGAGGGUGUGGAGAUGCUGUGAGGGAGACUGCUCCCAGGGAAGGGAUGGGGACCCAUUUCAGAAGGAUGUCCUGGCUGUCUCCUCCACCUUAUCUGGGCCGCCUGUUCUGAUCU
rnacentral:lncRNA from 1 species